AGGCAGCGCCUCAGGAUCCGGGGGCGGCCCCUCCAUCCACUUCAGCAGACCCUCCAUCGAGCUGCUCGGCUUUCUCGUCGGAGUGCUCCUCUCCAUCGCCUCUCUCUCUCUCUCUCUCCCUCUUUCUUUCUGUUUCUUCAUUAACCGGUAGAAAGAGUUGAACGGAGCGAGAGGAGGGAUUCAGCAUUGGGUUACCUUCG
rnacentral:lncRNA from 1 species